GCAUCUGGGGGCAGGGAAUGAUGGGUUCUGCCCGCUGGUGGGGCGAUGCCGGCGUCGCGAUAGGUUGUACAUUGAGGAGACUGUCUCCCACAGACUGAAAAAGCAGAAACAAAGACAUCAGAAUUUUCACUUCCCCAUCCGUGCCUUCCCUUUCCCUUCUCUACCCAUCCGCUUCCCCCCCGCCCAAAAAAAACCUCACUACCAUGGGGACCAGUGGUGACACGCACCAGAGGCUGUGGCCUUUCUCACAGGCUGAGGGAACUCCUGACUCAGCAGAAGGUCAUCUGCGUCCCAGAUGCACCCUUCUUAACACUUCACUCGUCUGGGACCUCCGGGGGUUAGCCCAGAUCACCUCUAGUCUUCCUCCAGCUUGAAAUCCAUGACCCUGUGACCCCAGCUAUGUAUCCCUCAGCAAGCUGCUCAACUUCCCCCCUCAGCCUGGGUUUCUUCUGCUGUAAAAUGGAAAUAAUACUGUUCCUAUUACCUACUGCACAGAUGUUGGGCGAAAAGUUAUGUAAACCUUAAAGCUACAUACAUGUGAAGUUAUAACCAGUUACCCAACAGCCCA